GAAAAUACUAUUUUUCAGGUUGGUACUAAAGCUGAAACAGCUGACUAGAAACACUCUGCUUGUUUUCUUGCUCAUCCCUGCACUCCGUUACACAAGGCAGUUCGAGCAGAUGGUAGCUGAAAACCUGACCACUUGCUGAGAUCCAUCUUUCAUUUAUUUUAUCUCCUUGCCUGUAUUUACGUCUGGUGACGUGGUAAGCUGAAGAAAGAAAGUUGAGAAGAUGGUUUGGGAGCUGGUUGCAAAUUGGGCAAAAGUGAGGAUUACCUAACGCGGGAUCCAUGGAUCAGGAGUUGUUGCUGACAUGGCCAAAUUACCUUUGGCGGUACAGUGCCUGUAUGAGCUGUUUGACAUAAAGAUGUUUAACAGAAAGCAACCAGAAGAGUUGGAGCUGAGAGGGCAAGGGGCCUGUCUGAUCAGGCACCGAUUGAUCACCAGAAGACUUCCCCCUUUGCGAGUGGUUGUGUGACAGAAGUUUGAUUCAUCAUCUGUGCUAUGCAGAUGG
rnacentral:lncRNA from 1 species